rnacentral:tRNA from 1 species
GACCUCAUGGUCUAAUGGUUAUGACGCUGGGCUUUCAAUCCAGAAGCGGGAGUUCGAUUCUCCCUGAGGUUA